GACGAACGCUGGCGGCGUGCCUAACACAUGCAAGUCGAACGGAGAUAUGAUUUCGGUUGUAUCUUAGUGGCGAACGGGUGAGUAACGCGUGAGCAACCUGACUCUUUGAGGGGGAUAACACCUGGAAACAAGUGCUAAUACCGCAUAAGACCACGACCCGGCAUCGGGACGAGGUCAAAGGAGCAAUCCGCAGAGAGAGGGGCUCGCGUCCCAUUAGAUAGAUGGCGGGGUAACGGCCCACCAUGUCGACGAUGGGUAGCCGAGCUGAGAGGCUGAUCGGCCACACUGGAACUGAGACACGGUCCAGACUCCUACGGGAGGCAGCAGUGGGGAAUAUUGGGCAAUGGGCGCAAGCCUGACCCAGCAAUGCCGCGUGAGUGAUGAAGGCCUUAGGGUUGUAAAGCUCUUUUACCCGGGAUGAUAAUGACAGUACCGGGAGAAUAAGCUCCGGCUAACUCCGUGCCAGCAGCCGCAGUAACAC
rnacentral:rRNA from 1 species